rnacentral:lncRNA from 10 species
AGGGUUCUCUGCGUCUGGAGAACACAGGACGUCCACAGGAAAGUUCUCCCUCCUGCACUCCCGGCUGGCUCUGAAAAUUAUGAAGGCAGAGACGUCCGUGCCUGAUACUGUCCUGGCAGCCACGUGCCCUCAUACACUUGCCCAGACCCUGAAUGUGCUACACGGAGUGACCCCAAUUACACCGUGGGCCCCGGGUGACUGCGACAUCUCUCUUUUCCUUAAAAUAAAGGCUCUAAAAUUGUGUGAUUCCACCUCCCUGAGGCUAAGCGAAAGAGCCGCGUCUGCCCCUGUCCUUCCCGGGGGCUGGCAGGGAGUGGGUGCCCGGCGGUGACUCAGCCCUGCAGCCUCCCAGCCCUUCCCCGUAUGCGGGCAGGUGAUGCGGACGCCUCCGACCCUCGUGGGGUUUGUGGAGAGCGUUGAUCAGCGCUGCCGUCAGAACAGGACCUGUGCGAGGCCUCGCAGAUGCCGGGAGCCGGGCGGUGCUCUCGGUGCUUCUCAUCAAAUCCACUGGCUCUUCGAGAGGAAGCACAUGUCACAGCCCAGCUCAAACAAGAAGCAAGAAAAUCACUCUUCAUUUUGGAAUUGUAAAAUAAAGUAGAAAUUAUCCUCAGGCUAGAGUGACCUUCCCGUCCUGCCCCAGCCACCCCCCACCUCCCAGCACCUGCCGGUAACAGCCCUGCACACAGCCCCGAGACCCUCCGCCAAACCCAGCCCACCACCCCCGGGAGGGCUGUGGAAGAGGCUAGAGAGCGCAUCCCCUCUGGCUCCUGGGGUGGAGGCCUGCUGUGGGUUGGCUGGAAUCAGCCCCCCUCCCCCGUGUCCUGGGCCCCUGCAGCCCUGCGAGGCGGACACCUAGCCACCCCUCAUCCCAGGGAAGCCAGGGCCAGGGAAGGGCCCAGGAGGGGAGGGUUCGCCCUUCCUGCUGGAUGUCGUUCCUUUAAAAAUCCCUGCCGCUGGCCGGGCGUGGUGGCUCACGCCUGGAAUCCCAGCACUUU